rnacentral:lncRNA from 1 species
AGUGCCAUCACAACACAGGGCUCGAAUGUGGACAGGAGGAGGACCUAAGUGGACCCGGAGGCUGAGCUGGCCUCGCAGCACUGGUGGUGGGGGAGGGCUGAUGGUCAGGACUCUGGGUCUUUGGCACUGCUGCCUAGGCCGUGGCCCUCAGUCUGCCCAUCUGUGAAAUGAGGGGGAGCUGGUCCUGACUGCCUCCCAGGGACCCUGUGAAAAGCCGCUCUGAACUCCUUGCCAGAGAGGAGGUUUGCCGGUGCCACAAUCCAGCAUUUCUGGGGUUCACUCUGCUCUGGGUACUGUGUAAAGGACUCCACAGCCAUCAACUUCCCUUCAUCCUUGCCGUGUCUUUGAAAGAGCUGAGAUUUCUUUACAUCACAGUGGUUCAAGGAGAAAAACACAGCCAGAUCCUUCCUCAUCUCAACAUAAAUUAAACCCAGAGGCAGUCAGCGCCACAGUCCACACUCGUAACCGUUACACUCACCUGGAAAUAAAAGUAUUUUUGUGCGGGGACUGCAAGGACUAAGCCCGGCCGCACUCCGAGUUUCUCCUCCUCACAGUGACUCAUUGCUCAGGUGAGGAAACUGAGGCUCAGAGAGGGUCCGUGGCAUGUCCAAGGUUACUCUGCUGUGUCCCCAGAGGCAAGGAACUAUGUGAGCCACUCCAGUGUUCCCAGCCCCAAGGCCAGGCACAGUGGACAUUUAUUGCUGAAUGAAUGAAUCAAGAGAGAGGAUCAGAAAGCUGCAGAGGAUGAUAGAUCUGCAAAAUUCUCCCUGGGUGAGGCCCAGGCUCAGCUUCCAGAACAGCUCCAUCUGUCUCCCACUCACUGAGAUUGAACUAAUGUCCCACAGUUGGACAGACCUGAAAUUGAGCUCUGUGAUUUUGGAUGUGCCUUUUGCCUUCCACGGUGAUUGUGAGGCCUCUCAAGCCACGUGGAACUAUGGAGUCUCAAUAUGCUGCCCAGGCUGGAGUGUGGUGGUGCCAACAUAGCUCAUUGCAGCCUUGAACACCCAGGCUCAAGUGAUCCUCCUAUCUCAGCCUCCCAAGUAGCUGGGACUACAGGUGCUCCAUUAAAUCAGGAACCUUGUUGCUUCUGGUAUCUGGGGUGUCCCACCGCUACCCCCAUGUGAGUGCCUGGCACAUAUAGAUACUUGAUACCUGCUUGCUGAAUAAAUGAAUAAGUGCAACUUGACUGGAUGAUGAGAGGCACAGCUGAGUCCGGAGCAGACUGAGCCACCUAAGAGGGGAGGAACCGCUGCAGAGAAACCGUGUUAAGCCUUUUUGAAGUUCCAGAGGGAGAACAAGAGAGCGGAGGCUCCUGGUGGCUGGUGACAGGUGCUGAUUUGUUCUGGGGAAAGAGCACAGAAAAGUGCCUGGAGAGGAGGCGGGGCCAAAAUGGGAUGUAGGCGAUGGGAAGGACCCUCAAGACACAGUCCUGGGCUCCCAGGCAGGACCAACCCCCAAACCUGUCCCCCCAGGAGCCUGCAGAGCCACUGCCCUGACAGGGGACACCUCACUUCCUCUCCUUGCAGCUGCUCUUGGCUGGGAGAGCAGAGAACAGGGGACAGGAGAGAAGCCCCGAGAGUACUGAAGCUGAGGCUGGGGCGGUCUUCACUUCCCUCUUUCCUCGGCCCUUUUCCUGUUCUCUUGUCUUGUCUCUCUUUCUCUACUUUCCUUCUCCCUAGCCCAGUCUCUCACCGCUCUUCAGCCUCUGGGCCUUUCCUUCUUCCUCUCUUGCCCUCAUUCUUCCUUCUCUGUCCCUCUUGUCUUCUCUUUUACCUCUUCUCUUCUUCCCUCCUUCCUACAGCUAUGCCCUCUUCCCUCCUUUCUCUUGUCCCCAACCAGGGCAUUAGAAAUGCAUUCCAGUUACACUGAUCUGAUCACUGCAUAUUGUAUGCAUGCAUCAAAAUAUCACAUGUACCCCAGAAAUAUGUAAAUUACUGCAUAUCAAUAAAAAGAAAUGUAGCUUCUUUGCCUCAC